UCCCGUGUGGCUCAGUUGGUAGAGCAUGGCACUUGCAAUGCCAGGGUUGUGGGUUUGAUUCCCACGGGAG
rnacentral:tRNA from 1 species